AACGAACGCUGGCGGCAGGCUUAACACAUGCAAGUCGAACGCAUCCUUCGGGGUGAGUGGCAGACGGGUGAGUAACGCGUGGGGACGUGCCCUUCAGUUCGGGAUAACCCAGGGAAACUUGGGCUAAUACCGGAUACGUGCGAGAGCAGAAAGAUUUAUCGCUGAAGGAUCGGCCCGGGUCUGAUUAGCUAGUUGGGGAGGUAAUGGCUCGCCAAGGCGACGAUCAGUAGCUGGUCUGAGAGGAUGAACCGCCACAUUGGGACUGAGACACGGCCCCAACUCCUACGGGAGGCAGCAGUGGGGAAUAUUGGACAAUGGGCGCAAGCCUGAUCCAGCCAUGCCGCGUGAGUGAUGAAGGCCUUAGGGUUGUAAAGCUCUUUCGUCCGGGACGAUAAUGACGGUACCGGAAGAAGAAGCCCCGGCUAACUUCGUGCCAGCCGCCGCUGUAACAC
rnacentral:rRNA from 1 species